ACUGAGCCACCCAGGCGCCCCUUUAUGUAAUGUUUUAUAGGCGAGAUAAACACGACACCAGGUGAGGUAGGCACAAGGCAAGAUUUAUUAAAGGCACUCCCUGGUGAAAUUUCAG